AUUGAACGCUGGCGGGAGGCCUUACACAUGCAAGUCGAACGGAGCGGCGGACGGGUGAGUAAUGCCUAGGAAUCUGCAUGGUAGUGGGGGAUAACGUCAGGAAACGGGCGCUAAUACCGCAUACUAUCAGAUGAGCCUCGGUCGGAUUAGCUAGUUGGUGGGGUAAAGGCCUACCAAGGCUACGAUCAGUAACUGGUCUGAGAGGAUGAUCAGUCACACGGGAACUGAGACACGGUCCAGACUCCUACGGGAGGCAGCAGUGGGGAAUAUUGGACAAUGGGCGAAAGCCUGAUCCAGCCAUGCCGCGUGUGUGAAGAAGGUCUUCGGAUUGUAAAGCACUUUAAGUUGGGAGGCGGUACCAACAGAAUAAGCACCGGCUAACUUCGUGCCAGCAGCCGCGGUAAUUC
rnacentral:rRNA from 1 species